rnacentral:ncRNA from 1 species
AUAUAUACAAGGAUAAGGAUUAGUAAAAAUGUGAGUUUUUUUUAAGAGAGGGACACGGAUUAGGUGAAAGUUUCCUAAAAAAACAAUUUUGAACCUACCUUUGAGUUCUGCAUUAAAGGUGCAGCGGUGAUUCCGUUAAAGUCUUAAAGUGAGUAUUUUAAUUAAUUAUAUUAAUUAGGGUGGUACCACCGGUGUAAUCUCGGUCCCUUUG